rnacentral:rRNA from 1 species
GACGAACGCUGGCGGCGUGCCUAAUACAUGCAAGUAGAACGCUGAAGCGAGGAGCUUCCUCUUCUUGGAUGAGUUGCGAACGGGUGAGUAACGCGUAGGUAACCUGCCUUGUAGCGGGGGAUAACUAUUGGAAACGAUAGCUAAUACCGCAUAACAAUGGAUGACACAUGUCAUUUAUUUGAAAGGGGCAAUUGCUCCACUACAAGAUGGACCUGCGUUGUAUUAGCUAGUAGGUGAGGUAAUGGCUCACCUAGGCGACGAUACAUAGCCGACCUGAGAGGGUGAUCGGCCACACUGGGACUGGGACACGGCCCAGACUCCUACGGGAGGCAGCAGUAGGGAAUCUUCGGCAAUGGGGGCAACCCUGACCGGGCAACGCCGCGUGAGUGAAGAAGGGUUUCGGAUCGUAAAGCUCUGUUGUAAGUCAAGAACGGGAGUGAGAGUGGAAAGUUCACACUGUGACGGUAGCUAACCAGAAAGGGACGGCUAACUACGUG